rnacentral:rRNA from 1 species
GUUUGAUCCUGGCUCAGAACGAACGCUGGCGGCGUGCCUAACACAUGCAAGUCCAACGUGAAAGGGGAGCAAUCCCCCGGUAGGGUGGCAAACGGGUGAGUAAUACAUGGGUGAUCUACCUUAGGGAUGGGGAUAUCCUUCCGAAAGGAGGGCAAUACCGAAUAUUGUCCGGAGCCGUGAAGGGUUCCGGGGAAAGGGAGGCCUCUGAUACAAGCUUUCGCCUUAAGAUGAGCCCAUGGCCCAUCAGCUAGUUGGUAGGUAAAGGCCUACCAAGGCUACGACGGGUCGCUGGUCUGAGAGGACGACCAGCCACACUGGCACUGAGAUACGGG